AUGACUGCACCAGGGAUGAUUGUGGAGAGAAGCUAUACCUGCAGUUUUACCAACAGAUGCAGAAAGAAUGAGGCACCUUCUAACUGUCAUUGCCAUCAGCAAGGAGCAAAACUGCUAAAGGAUUUGGACUUCUGGGAUAUUCUUGAUAUCAACCUGCAAAAUGGCCACUGUUUGGAGGGAGACCUGACCUUUUGCCAAUGCCAGGAUGUUGCGGUUUAGGCCCGGCUGGCAACUAAGCACCAUGAGGCUGCUUGCCCACUUCUUCCCCUGGUGGGAAAAGGAGGAGAAUUGGAAGAAAAAGGUAAAAACUUGUGGGUUGAGAUAAGGACAGGUUAAUAGGGUGACACAAGAAAAGAAGAAAUAAUAACAGUAAUACUAAUAAAAUAAUGUAAGAAGUGUGAUGCA
rnacentral:lncRNA from 1 species